GGUCAAGCCGGCAGUCUAUCUGUGGUAUAGCAGCCGCACACACGUUGUUAGAUUUAAACCUGUGGAUUUAUUUCCUGUGAGCGCCAGAGAUUGGCACUGGGUGGGGCUGGCACUGCUCCUCCUCCAGCUGGAGUGUUCCCUGCGGUGCCUCUUUGCGUGGGCCAAUAAGGUGCCUUAGCAGGUGAUUACUGCCCAACACACGGCUCUUUACACUACCCUCGACCAUGCCCUUGCUGCUCCUGUGACAGGAGGAAAAGCAGGAGGCGCAGGAGGAGGAGGAGAGGUGCAAAUUGAAGAAAGAAGAGAAGAAAGUGGAAUGACUGAAGGAACAAGAAAAGACGAUGCUGAUGAAACAGAAGAGGCAGAAAUAAAGGACGAUAAACACAAAAAGAAGAUAGCGUUUGAGAGUUCCAAUAAGGGUAUGGAAAGUAUAAAACAUCCUAUUCUUCCUCAUCCACCUCUCCUCUCAUCCACUCGCCUAUCGCAGGAGACAGAAAAUGCAUUACAGGUUCUUAGAAGGUGGAUAAGUGGAUACAGGAGUCACUACCACCCUACUUCUCUCCUCCACGAGGCCCUCCUCUCCUCCACCUCCCUCCUGGGCGGGUGGAAGGAGUGGAAGAGAGUGGAGAGAAGCGAGAUGGAUUAUGUGGAGUAGGAGAAACAGGUGGAGGUGUUGGUGGAAGAGAUGGAUAGACUGUGUGAGAGAGCGGAAGAGGUGAAAGGCAAGAGUGAUGUGGAAGUGGGAGAUAGGAAGGGGAAUAAAGGAAGAACUGAUAAAUAGGUGAAUAGUGACAAUGGAGUAGAAAAGAAGGGAAAUGAAGGAAGUGAAAGGACAGAAAACGAUGAAGAUAAACCCAAAAUAAAAGGAAAUCUAAGUUACCCACCUCUUUCACGCACGCACACCACCCUCCCAUUAACAAAAACCACGGAAUUCAUAGCAAAAAUCCAUAAUAUAACCAUCCAAGUCCUUCACCGACCCAAAUCUGAGCUGGAAGUGGUCUCAGUAUUGAGAAGAAUGACCACUAACAUCAACGCCAGCCUCAGGAACACACAGGAUAGUCUCUCCUUCAAACACACGCAGUUUAGAGAAAAGAAAAAAAAUGAGGUCUAGACGAAGGGAGACUUAAAAAAGACAGCUCAACGCGGUGCCUGUGGU